UACGAAGGGGGCUAGCGUUGCUCGGAAUCACUGGGCGUAAAGGGUGCGUAGGCGGGUCUUUAAGUCAGGGGUGAAAUCCUGGAGCUCAACUCCAGAACUGCCUUUGAUACUGAAGAUCUUGAGUGCGGGAGAGGUGAGUGGAACUGCGAGUGUAGAGGUGAAAUUCGUAGAUAUUCGCAAGAACACCAGUGGCGAAGGCGGCUCACUGGCCCGAUACUGACGCUGAGGCACGAAAGCG
rnacentral:rRNA from 1 species